rnacentral:lncRNA from 12 species
AUGGGACGCAUGACCCACAGGAGCCCAUGGUGUCACCCUGUCCUCACGCCUGCCACUCCCAGGGCCGCAGCCAGGGAAACGCCGACAUCGCUCUGCUCAGCCUGUGGCCCGCCUCCCCUCACUCACCUCUAUCCACCGCACCCCCCAGUGGGGCACCCCCUGGAAAGCCCUGCAUCUGCUCCCCUGCACCUGCCCCGUCCACCACACCCCCCCCAAGGGGGCACCCCCGGGAGAGCCCUGCACCUGCUCCCCUGCACCUGCUCUGUCCACCAUGCCCCCCAGCGGGGCGCCCCUGGGGAGAGCCCUGCACCUGCUCCCCUGCACCUGCUCCAUCCACCCCGGCCCCCCAGCGGGGCACCCCGGGGAGAGCCCUGCAUCUGCUCCCCUGCACCUGUUCUGUCCACCAUGCCCCCCAGCGGGGCGCCCCCCCACCCCCCAGGGAGAGCCCUGCACCUGCUCCCCUGCACCUGCUCCGUCCACCCCACCCCCCAAGCGGGUGCCCCGGCGAGAGCCCUGCACCUGCUCCCCUGCACCUGCUGCGUCUUCUCCAUUCCACCGCUGGAGGCGCCAAGAGCCCGGCCUUGGUCAGCCCACUACCUCCCUGACCUGCGCCGUCCUGGGACCUUGGCCUGGCCUGGGGCACCGACGGCCCCCAACGCCCAUCAUCACUGCAUCACCCACCUGCGCACCCUCUUCCACCGCCUCCUUGAGGCUCUGCAGGGGAUUUCCUAUCCCGCCAGGGGUUCAGGCCUGCAGACACCCCACUGUGUGUCAGGGUCAGCCCCUCCCUGCCAGGGCCGUUGCUCCCCACAACUCCUGCCCAGGGCCCGCUCCCCAGUGCCCAACAUCCCUGUGCCACACACCCAAGCCCAAAGGGCCCUCGGCAUCUUUCUAGACCAGAAGCCCACAUGGCGACCCAGGCACAGCCACGAGCGCCUCAAUGUACCCAAGCCAAGUACAUCUCAUGAUUACGGAUCCUCACAAACAAAAUGGACAAAAACAGUGUUUCCUAGAAGAAAAAAGAUAGGCAAUGAUAUCGAUAGAAAAGAUAUUGAGCAAUGGGAAGGGGGUUCAAAAUGUAAUGUUGCCAUAGCUUCUGGGAAAUUAAGAGAGGGAACAGGACUCAAUAAUUUCGACAGCUGA